rnacentral:rRNA from 1 species
UGAGCCUUGAUGUGUAGGAUAGGUGGGAGGCUUUGAAGUGUGGACGCCAGUCUGCAUGGAGCCGGCCUUGAAAUACCACCCUUUAAUGUUUGAUGUUCUAACGUUGACCCGUGAUCCGGGUUGCGGACAGUGUCUGGUGGGUAGUUUGACUGGGGCGGUCUCCUCCUAAAGAGUAACGGAGGAGCACGAAGGUUGGCUAAUCCUGGUCGGACAUCAGGAGGUUAGUGCAAUGGCAUAAGCCAGCUUGACUGCGAGCGUGACGGCGCGAGCAGGUGCGAAAGCAGGUCAUAGUGAUCCGGUGGUUCUGAAUGGAAGGGCCAUCGCUCAACGGAUAAAAGGUACUCCGGGGAUAACAGGCUGAUACCGCCCAAGAGUUCAUAUCGACGGCGGUGUUUGGCACCUCGAUGUCGGCUCAUCACAUCCUGGGGCUGAAGUAGGUCCCAAGGGUAUGGCUGUUCGCCAUUUAAAGUGGUACGCGAGCUGGGUUUAGAACGUCGUGAGACAGUUCGGUCCCUAUCUGCCGUGGGCGCUGGAGAACUGAGGGGGGCUGCUCCUAGUACGAGAGGACCGGAGUGGACGCAUCACUGGUGUUCGGGUUGUCAUGCCAAUGGCACUGCCCGGUAGCUAAAUGCGGAAGAGAUAAGUGCUGAAAGCAUCUAAGCACGAAACUUGCCCCGAGAUGAGUUCUCCCUGACUCCUUGAGAGUCCUGAAGGAACGUUGAAGACGACGACGUUGAUAGGCCGGGUGUGUAAGCGCAGCGAUGCGUUGAGCUAACCGGUACUAAUGAACCGUGAGG